GGCUCCAACUUGACCCAGAAGGAUAAGAGCUUAGAACAUCCUACUGCAUAGUCCAAGUUUACUGAAGACCUGACCGCAAUAUACUGAAUGUAGCGAGCCCAAAGGACUCCACCUGACUGAGUGCCACAUACCUGAGUGGUUCUGCAUUCUCUAUUAGAAAUUGAAAGGCCUAUAAGACAAUGAAGAGUGCAACAGAAGAAAACAUCCAGAAAGGAGAGGAACUGAGCGAGCGGGCAUACAAGAGUGAAAACGGUGUGGUUUUUCAACAACGGAGAGACGAGAAACUUGAAAACUGGUGCCAGGCUUGCUUUACUUUCGUUGACAGCACCUCUUCUGUUCCCGAUUCCUGCCCGAUUACAAAAAAGAGAAGAAUAGCACCUAAGAAAUCUCACGUUCUGUGAUGACAGAUGCCGUCACAAUCAUAAAGAUAUGUAUUUGUCAUACAUUGAUGUUAAACAACUGUUCUGGAUGUGUUUGAAGGGAUCUAGCUCUCCAUUUUUGGUAGAUAAUGACCAAAAAGGCUUCAUGCGCUAAUGACACAACGCAAGAUACCAUACUACUCACUAAGUAAUGGAGUGGGAUGAGGAUUGAGGAAGUUCAGGUGAUGUCAUUGACACAAUCACAAGAUUUAAAUAUCAUUGAGAACUUGUGGGACUAUGUUAGGAAGUGUGUGGAGAAUAAUUCAAGCACUAUGCAAGGUCUGCAGACAGAAGUGGAUAAUGUGUGGGAUGGAAUAUAUUUAGAUCAUUUUAAGAAAACACGGAAAUAUGACAAAGCGACAUGAGAAGGGGAGGGCACUGUAAGAAUACAGCCUGUUCUAACUUUUCAUUCAUCUGCUUCAAAGUUGUAAGAAACAGGACCAUAUCAAGAUGUUUACAAGUGCUGUAUAGAUCUGUUUACAAGCAUGCCAGCAUAGUGUGACUCUACAACAUGAAACAUUCCCUUCAUG